GACUGCGUCUCCGCUCAAUGGUGUCCAAUGGCAGACCAAAUGGCGAUAGUUCUGGUGACAUCAUUGAGUCCGAGUCAAGAGUUUUCUGGGCAGCACACUGGUCAAAGAGAUUUACAGCCUCCGCGAUGGUUGCCUGAUUCUGCUCCUCGUACGCCAUGGCGACCACGGCCAGGAUGAGGUUGACCAGGUAGAAGGAACCGAGGAAUAUGACCACCACGAAAAACACCAUUGUUUACGACUGAGGGCUUGUUAUCGCUGUGCAGCCGGGACCAGCCCACUCGUGUCACUGCUGAGACGGAGCAGAUAACGCGGGGACGGCAUUCAUCAUAAUUGAAAUUCCACAUUCGUAUCCUAUCAUAUUCAUCGCCGCCCACACAGUCACAUCUGAUCCACUGAUACACAGCAGUCCUAUUGGUGGCAUGCUGCUGGUCAGUGGAGGGAGGGCUGCUGCAGUUUAUAGCUGAAACGAUGAGCUGCUGCCUCUGCCCACAACAACUUACAGAAGCAGGCACCCAAAGGUGACUCUGAAACCAGCUUCAGCCAACAUUAUAAAAAGCCAACAGCAAGGAGGUCCAAGUUCAGAGGUGGCAUGAAAAUAAUAAGAAAAUAAUGUGUGGCAAUGUGACCUGGGCCUGAGUCCAUGUGGCUUUUACAUCAUAUUAAUGGCAUAUUGUUCAUUCUGCGUUGAUUGUCUCACUAACAUAAUGUUUAUUUGAUAGUUAGUUUGAUAGUUCCUGAUGCCACAAUGUCCCCAAGUAAUUCAAGUUCAGUGCAAAAAGUGAAGUGUGUUAACUUACCUGUAACAGCUGUUACCAAAUAAACAAAACUUGUGGAAGUGUAGUUUUGUUAAGUGUUAAAACUUAGAACUAUAGCCUUGGAGAGUGUGGAGGAGUUAUGAUGCACAAGAAGAGGGUGACAUUAACCGAAUC